GUGCACAUUUUGGCAGCACAUAUACUAAAACUGGAAGGAUAUGGAGAUUAGCAUGGCCCCAAUGCAAGGACGACAGGUAAAUUCAUGAAGCGUUCUAUUUUCUG